rnacentral:rRNA from 1 species
GACGAACGCUGGCGGCGUGCCUAAUACAUGCAAGUCGAACGCAGUGGGGACGGGUGAGUAACACGUGGGUAACCUCCCAUCAGAGGGGAGAACACUUGGAAACAGGUGCUAAACCGAUACUGAUGGAUGGACCCGCGGUGCCUUAGCUAGUUGGUGAGGUAACGGCUCACCAAGGCCACGAUGCAUAGGCGGCCUGUGAGGGUGGACCGCCACACCGGGAAUGAGGCACCGCCCCGGCCCCCACGGGGGGGAGCCGUAGGGAAUCUCCGGAAAUGGACGAAAUCUUGCCCGACCACCGCCGCGUGGGUGAAGAAGGUUUCGGGAUGUAAAACCCUUUUGUUAGAGAAGCGGUAUCUAACCAGAAAGCCACGGCUAACUACGUGCCAGCAGCCGCGGUAAUUC